rnacentral:rRNA from 1 species
UACGUAGGGGGCUAGCGUUGUCCGGAUUUAUUGGGCGUAAAGAGCGUGUAGGCGGCCAUACAGGUCCGUUGUGAAAACUGGAGGCUUAACCUCCAGACGUCGAUGGAAACCGUAUGGCUAGAGUCCGGAAGAGGAGAGUGGAAUUCCUGGUGUAGCGGUGAAAUGCGCAGAUAUCAGGAAGAACACCCGUGGCGAAGGCGGCUCUCUGGGACGGUACUGACGCUGAGACGCGAAAAGCGUGGGGAGCGAACAGG